rnacentral:rRNA from 1 species
UGGGGAAUAUUGCACAAUGGGCGCAAGCCUGAUGCAGCCAUGCCGCGUGUAUGAAGAAGGCCUUCGGGUUGUAAAGUACUUUCAGCGGGGAGGAAGGGAGUAAAGUUAAUACCUUUGCUCAUUGACGUUACCCGCAGAAGAAGCACCGGCUAAUUCCGUGCCAGCAGCCGCGGUAAUACGGAGGGUGCAAGCGUUAAUCGGAAUUACUGGGCGUAAAGCGCACGCAGGCGGUUUGUUAAGUCAGAUGUGAAAUCCCCGGGCUCAACCUGGGAACUGCAUCUGAUACUGGCAAGCUUGAGUCUCGUAGAGGGGGGUAGAAUUCCAGGUGUAGCGGUGAAAUGCGUAGAGAUCUGGAGGAAUACCGGUGGCGAAGGCGGCCCCCUGGACGAAGACUGACGCUCAGGUGCGAAAGCGUGGGGAGCAAACAGG